rnacentral:rRNA from 1 species
ACACUCCUACGGGAGGCAGCAGUGGGGAAUUUUGGACAAUGGGCGAAAGCCUGAUCCAGCAAUGCCGCGUGAGUGAAGAAGGCCUUCGGGUUGUAAAGCUCUUUUGUCAGGGAAGAAACGGUGAAAGCUAAUAUCUUUUGCUAAUGACGGUACCUGAAGAAUAAGCACCGGCUAACUACGUGCCAGCAGCCGCGGUAAUACGUAGGGUGCAAGCGUUAAUCGGAAUUACUGGGUGUAAAGCGUGCGCAGGCGGUUUUGUAAGUCUGAUGUGAAAUCCCCGGGCUCAACCUGGGAAUUGCAUUGGAGACUGCAAGGCUAGAAUCUGGCAGAGGGGGGUAGAAUUCCACGUGUAGCAGUGAAAUGCGUAGAUAUGUGGAGGAACACCGAUGGCGAAGGCAGCCCCCUGGGUCAAGAUUGACGCUCAUGCACGAAAGCGUGGGGAGCAAACAGGAUUAGAUACCCCUGUAGUCCCAUGAU